rnacentral:tRNA from 1 species
GGGGCUAUAGCUCAGCUGGGAGAGCGCUACAAUGGCAUUGUAGAGGUCGGCGGUCCGAUCCCGCCUAGCUCCACCA